GACGAACGCUGGCGGCGUGCUUAACACAUGCAAGUCGAACGGAAAGGCCCUGCUUUUGUGGGGUGCUCGAGUGGAGAAGGGGUGAGUAACACGUGAGUAAGCUGCCCUUGACUUUGGGAUAACUUAAGGAAACUGGGGGUAAUAGCGGAAAGGAGCUCCUGCUGUAUGGUGGGGGUUGGAAGGUUUCGGCGGUUGGGGAUGGACUCGCGGCUUAUCAGCUUGUUGGUGGGGUAGUGGCUUACCAAGGCUUUGACGGGUAGCCGGCCUGAUAUGGUGACCGGCCACAUUGGGACUGAGAUACGGCCCAGACUCCUACGGGACGCAGCAGUGCGGAAUAUUGCACAAUGGGCGGAAGCCUGAUGCAGCAACGCCGCGUGCGGGAUGACGGCCUUCGGGUUGUAAUCCGCUUUCGCCUGUGACGAAGCGUGAGUGACGGUAAUGGGUAAAGAAGCACCGGCUAACUACGUG
rnacentral:rRNA from 1 species